rnacentral:rRNA from 1 species
CCUUUUUUUUUUUAAAUUAUUUAAUUAAAUUAUAAAUUGUUAGUAUAACUUAAUUUAAUUAAUAUUUGUUUCGUUGGGGCGACGAGAAUAUAAUUUUAAGUAACUGUUCUUUUGUGGUUAAUUACAGAUUUAUUUGGGUAAAAAUUGAUCCUUUAUUAGAGAUUAAAAGAUUAAGUUACUUUAGGGAUAACAGCGUAAUCUUCUUUGAGAGUUCAUAUCGACAAGAAGGGUUGCGACCUCGAUGUUGAAUUAAAGUAUCCUUGUGGUGUAGCAGUUACAGAGGAGGGUCUGUUCGACCUUUAAUUCUUUACGUGAUCUGAGUUCAGACA